rfam:Bacteria symbiont BFo2 of Frankliniella occidentalis strain BFo2 contig039, whole genome shotgun sequence.
UCAUCACCAGCAUCAUCCUGACUAGUCUUUCAGGCGAUGACGGCUGGAAGACGAUUAGGUCUUCCUCUGGUUUGAACGUAUAAAGCCCUCGGAAGAUCGCUCUUCCGAGGGCUUUUUUAA